rnacentral:tRNA from 1 species
GCCUAAAUAGCUCAGUUGGUAGAGCAGCGCAUUCGUAAUGCGAAGGUCGUCGGUUCGACUCCGGCUUUGGGCA